rnacentral:rRNA from 1 species
UACGAAGGGGGCUAGCGUUGCUCGGAAUCACUGGGCGUAAAGCGCACGUAGGCGGGUUGCUAAGUCAGGGGUGAAAUCCUGGAGCUCAACUCCAGAACUGCCUUUGAUACUGGCGGCCUUGAGUCCGGGAGAGGUGAGUGGAACUGCGAGUGUAGAGGUGAAAUUCGUAGAUAUUCGCAAGAACACCAGUGGCGAAGGCGGCUCACUGGCCCGGUACUGACGCUGAGUGAGCGAAAGCCAGGGGAGCAAACGGG